rnacentral:rRNA from 1 species
CAGAAGAAGCACCGGCUAACUCCGUGCCAGCAGCCGCGGUAAUACGGAGGGUGCGAGCGUUAAUCGGAAUUACUGGGCGUAAAGCGCAUGCAGGUGGUUUGUUAAGUCAGAUGUGAAAGCCCGGGGCUCAACCUCGGAAUAGCAUUUGAAACUGGCAGACUAGAGUACUGUAGAGGGGGGUAGGAAUUUCAGGUGUAGCGGUGAAAUGCGUAGAGAUCUGAAGGAAUACCGGUGGCGAAGGCGGCCCCCUGGACAGAUACUGACACUCAGAUGCGAAAGCGUGGGGAGCAAACAGGAUUAGAUACCCUGGUAG